UACGUAGGGUGCGAGCGUUAAUCGGAAUUACUGGGCGUAAAGCGUGCGCAGGCGGUUUGUUAAGUCUGUUGUGAAAUCCACGAGCUCAACUUGGGAAUUGCAAUGGAUACUGGCAGGCUGGAGUAUGGUAGAGGAAGGUGGAAUUCCCGGUGUAGCAGUGAAAUGCGUAGAGAUCGGGAGGAACACCAGUGGCGAAGGCGGCCUUCUGGACCAAUACUGACGCUCAUGCACGAAAGCGUGGGGAGCAAACAGG
rnacentral:rRNA from 1 species